UACAGGGGGUGCAAACGUUGCUCGGAAUCAUUGGGCGUAAAGCGCACGUAGGCGGUUCGUUAUGUCGGAUGUGAAAUCCCUCGGCUUAACCGGGGAACUGCGUCUGAUACUGGAUGGCUUGAGUUUGGGAGAGGGAUGCGGAAUUCCAGGUGUAGCGGUGAAAUGCGUAGAUAUCUGGAGGAACACCGGUGGCGAAGGCGGCAUCCUGGACCAACACUGACGCUGAGUGAGCGAAAGCCAGGGGAGCAAACGGG
rnacentral:rRNA from 1 species